GUGCAGAACAACCCAAGCAUGGAAUGAGAAGGGAUGCCUAGAUCUUUAAGAUGCCUGAGCUGUUGAAGUCCCAGUUCCAUCACCUAUAAUGUCUGCAGGUUGUAAUGUCUUUCCAGAAAAAGCUUGAGAAGAAGUGACAUAAAGAGAUCCUGAUACUUGAUUUGGAACUUAGGGAAGCUCCAAKGCAAUGAGAGCCUGUUAUUCACAGAGAAGAGCUUCUUUGCACUUCCUUUUGCCAGCCUCCAGCUGAUCAUGAGCCACAGAACAGUCACCCAGAAACCUGUCACCACUGGAAUGGUGCAUGAGAAGAGGGAUACGGAGCUUGGAUUGAAGACCCUGUACGACAGGCUGUGGAAGAGGCUGAGUCAGACCAUUGCUCAAAAGGCCAUUACAGCUUUCAGUUGCUGAUCUGCUUGCCAUGUGUGAUUGUGCAUUGCUGUUAAAAUGGCAUAUUGGCCCUAAUCCUGAAAAGCUUUCAGCUCUGCUGUACCUGGACUGUGUCUACAAGCAAGCUUGUUACCCAUGCUCUGAAAAUCAGGAAUCCCUUACAGGUCGGAGAGGAGUGACUUCUGCUGAGGAAAAAUGAGUGCAGCAUAAAGGAUGAAGGCA
rnacentral:lncRNA from 1 species